CAAUAGCAUAAAUGUCUAUAGUAAAUAUAUGAAUAUUUAUAUAUUGAUGUAUGCCUACUGUGUGGGUUUUAUGCAGGAUUGUUUCAUAGUUAGUCAAGAAAAUCCUAGUACUUAAGCUCAAGCAUAUUGUAUAAACUAAGAUGUUUAUACUCAAUAUAUAUUUUUAUUUUUAAGAUAACUGACAACAUUAUUUGUAUUGAAUAUAAAUGUCGUUUUUCAAUUGCACCUUAAAGAAUAAUAACAUUUCUUUAUUAACGUUUAGUUGAUAUAUCACAUGUUUUAGAUUUUUCUGAUUGAUAUCUGGUUAUAUUCCUAUUUUCAUUUGAAACAAUAGUUUCAUUAAUGUAUCGAAGGGUCUUUUUAAUUAGAAAGAAAUAUAAUACGAUUGGAAAGACAAUGAUUUUUUUUGGGGGGAAAUUAAAAAAAAAUCUAGACUAGUAAAGAUUCCAAAGUAAAACUAUUUUUAUAAUCUUCGUUCAUUUUUUAAAAACAUAAUUGUACAAAGUCAUCAAAAAUUAUUAUAAAUUUAAUGAUAUUCAAUAUGUUUCAAAUUUUGUAAAAUGCCUCAUAAAAAACCUUUUAAUGCGUUAAACGUAAAGUGGAAAAUACCAUAGUGUUUGAAGCGUUUUCCUGAUAAAAAUUGUCACAAGGUACCUAAAAAACCCAAAAUAUAUAAAAACAAUAUCAAAUCCAAACUGUUAACUAUAACAGAAGCAGCAUAAUCAAAAGAUUUCUGAAUAGAAUAACGAAUACAAAUUUUAAUCCACAUUACAGAAAGGAACUUAGAAUACAAGAAAGACAACAAUUUACUUACUAAUAACCGUGGUCAGUAUGCAAUGGCUACUUGCUUUUUUUUUAUAACAAACAAUACCAUGUAACACUACGAAAUAUAUGUAAAUUACCCAUAUGAAUUAUUUUAUACACCAUUUUGAAAACGUCUGUCGUUAUUUGGGUCAGAUAAAUGUCAAGUAUGUAUAUCAAAGAAAACGAGGAGACAGUUUUGAUAGCUUUUGUCGUGAAGGUUUGCAUAUUGUACAUGUAAACCUGCAUUCUUCAAUCCAUUACACUAACUUGUAGAUUUGUCCGCAGUUGCAUCUAUUGCAAAACGAGAUCAAAACAUGUGGUCACUCAAGAGCACUAGAAAAAUGACAUUUACUUUGUUGUACAAUUUAUCACUACCAGUACAUUAUCCUUCAGAGACAUACAAUACAAAGAAAAGCAGUAUAUGUUUACAUAUAACCAUAUGACCUUUUGACCACUAUUAGUUGACCAUGCAACUGACCUGUGGCCUAGGUUGUUAACCUUUGGUUUAAUGUUACAAAUAUUUUAUCAUGGUUAGGUAAAAUAAACUAGUAAGGAUGCAAGACUGACAUUACCAAAAUAAAAUACAUUAUUUCCGAAAUUUAUUUAGUUUUGAUAUGAUUUGCCUUUAUCAAAAUGUGCAUUUCGUCAUUUAAGAAUAUAUUUUGGUUACAAAAACAAGUUAAGAAAACUUUUAUUUGUAUCCUGGAUGAAUAUGUAUUCUCCAAAAAAAUGCAUAAAGACAGAUAUCGAUAUAUUAAAAAAAAUGUUUUAGUUAUUUUCAUUAGAUUAGAAACAAAUAGCUUACCUUCAAACUAUUCUUACAAAUUGAAGAACCCCAAAAGCUUUAUGUUGUUUAUAUCAUAUUGCGGAAAUUUUAACUGAAACUUCCACUAUAGGGAUAUGAUGGUAAAUGUAUAUCUAAUAUAGGUAAUCAUUGAAAAUUUCCCUGGGUAUAUUUAAUAGUGCGGGAUUUCCCUAUAGUUUUAUUUUUAUAUCCCACUCAAUACCGUUUUUACACAUAACCAAGCAGAGAUCUAUUUCUUGGCGGAAAUAUUCUUCUGGAAGAAGGAAGGAAGUGUAGGUAGGAAUACCAUUUUUAAAUCUUAAAAUAUGAGCUUUAAAAGAUAAAACGUGCUUGUUGAUACCUUCUGUUGCUAAAACAAUGUAAUAUAAUUAAUUAUCAAAUUGUUAUACACCGUGUAUAUAAUACUGAGACAAAGCAUAAAUGUGAACAUUUAAUUCGGUCACAUAAUUUAAGUACAAAGCCUAAAACGGUAAAUGGAGUAAAUGGAGACAAACAAAUCUAUUUUUUGUAACACAAUGACAUAAACAAUAUGUGCUUAGCUCGAGGUUUAGCUUUCUUUUACAUUCAUUACACCCAAUAUAAAUAAUGGUAUACAUUUUUAUAUUGCAAAAAAAAUCAGUUAAGGGGGUACUGGAGUUUACUGGAGAAAUACACUUCUUUUUUUAUUAUGACCGUUGCAUGAAAAACAGUGUUUGACAAAUUUAGGCAACAGUAGUUCACUGAUUUUUCUUUCUCAUGAAUCAUGUAAGAAAAUACAAAUCAAGUUAACAAUAAAAAAUGAUCAUGAGAGAAAUCGCAUGAAUUCCAUAUGAAGAGAGACCGGGUGCAUCGACAGAGGAAGCGGCUUCUGAUGCACCAUCUAUGCAAAUCCACACUCAAUCAACGUCGACAGGGGAAGCGGCUUUUAAUGCACCAUCUAUGUGAAUCCACACUCAGUCAACGUCGACAGAGGAAGCGGCUUCUGAUGCACCAUCUAUGUGAAUCCACACUCAGUCAACGUCGACAGGGGAAGCGGUUUCUGGUGCACCAUCUAUGUGAAUCCACACUCAGUCAACGUCGACAGGGGAAGCGGCUUCUGUUGCACCAUCUAUGUGAAUCCACACUCAGUCAACGUCAACAGGGGAAGCGGCUUCUGUUGCACCAUCUAUGUGAAUCCACACUCAGUCAACGUCGACAGGGGAAGCGGCUUCUAAUGCACCAUAUAUGUGAAUCCACACUCAGUCAACGUCGAUAGGGGAAGCGGCUUCUGGUGCACCAUCUAUGUGAAUCCACACUUAGUCAAAAUAUCACAAAUUGGAAUAGGACACAAUCAGUAAAAUAAACAGAGCAGACGACUAAAUAUCUAAGAUGGACAAGUAAAAGUACAUGUUAGUGAGACCUUACAGUUUGGGAUUUGUAAAAUAAUAAGUUGAAAUCUUGAUAUUUACGCAGAUGAUAUUCGGUGAUUUCGAUGGAAUUACUAAUUGGGCAUUGUUGAACUAAUUUUGAGUAUGCUUUUUUGGGUUCUGUAAAUAGGUGGUAUCAUUAAGGUGAGUGAAAUCGAUGCUAUUUGGAUGGUUCUGUUGAAUUAGUCGUUGGACAUUUUUUACUAGUGUUUUGUAUGAUAUGUGAAAAACAAUGUUGAGAGACAUUUGCAAGAAUUUGAAGUGUCCUGUAUAAUAUGUGAAAGAGCUUUGUGUAGUUCCACUGCCAAUGAUUGGAAUAUUUUAAAUAAUUUGGUGGAGGAACAUUGCUAGGGGACACUAGCAAGGAUUAGAAGUGUUCUGUAAAUAUGUGGAAGAGAUGAUUUGAGUUACACAGGCAAUGGUUGGAAGUGUAAUGCUUAUGUAUAAUAAUUAGUGAGGAAAAGCAUUGUUAAGUGACACUAGCAAGGAUUGGAAGUUUGCGUUGGAAUAUGUGGAUGAGCUUUGUUGCUUGACACCGGCAAUGAUCGUUAAAAUCAUUUUUCAGAGAGCAUUGUUAAUUACACGGGCAAUGAUAGUAAGUUUUCUGUUAAAUAUGUAUAAGAACAUUGCUGAGUAACACUGGUAGGGAUUAAAAGGGUUCUGCAUGAUAUGUGGGAGAGCAUGGUUAAUGACACUGACAAUGAUCACAAAUGCUCUUUUAAAAUGACAGAUAAUGGUGAGUGACACUGGCCAAAAGAGGCGAAAGAACCAAAGGGACAUUAAAACUCACAAGACGAAAAUAAACUGAAAACGCCAUGGCAAAAAAAGAAAGAGACAAAAAGACAAACAACAGUUCACAAAACACAACAUCGAAACUAAAGACUGAAGAACACAACAUAGCAAGGAUUCUGAUUUGAAAAAGGCUAUGUAUGAUAUGUGGGAGAGCAUCGUAAAUGACACUGACAAUGAUUGGAUAUGUUCUUUUAAAACGACGGAGAAAAUUGUUGAGUGACACUAUCAAGAAUCAAAAGGGUUAUGCAUAGAAUGUGGGGGAGCAUUGUUUAUGACACUAACAAGAAUCAAAAAGCUUCUGCAUGAUAUGUGAGAAGGCAUUGUUGAGUGACAAUAACAAGAGAAUCAAAGGAGUUCUGCACGAACAUGGGAGAGUAUUGUUGAGUUGCACUAACAAGUGAGAGCAUUGUUGAGUGACACUAACAAGUGAGAGCAUUGUUGAGUGACAAUAACAAGUGAGAGCAUUGUUGAGUGACAAUAACAAGAGAAUCAAAGGAGUUCUGCACGAACAUGGGAGAGUAUUGUUGAGUUGCACUAACAAGAGAGAGCAUUUAGUGACACUUACAAGAAUCAAACGGGUUCUGUAUGAUAUGUCGGAGACCAUUGUUGAGUGAUACUAACAAGGAUCAAAGGGGUUCUGCAUAAUAUGUCGGAGACCAUUGUUGAGUGAUACUAACAAGGAUCAAAGGGGUUCUGCAUAAAAUGUCGGAGACCAUUGUUGAGUGAUACUAACAAGGAUCAAAGGGGUUCUGCAUAAUAUGUGGGAGACCAUUGUUGAGUGAUACUAACAAGAAUCAAAGGGGUUCUGUAUAGUAUGUGGGAGAGGAUUGUUUAUGACACUGGUUUUCACACUGAUCAUUAUGUAAUGUUUGGCAGAAGCAGCUAACGAUAAAAACCGUUCUGUUUGGUUUGAUUUUAGGUUGAUCACCAUUGUUAACCAAAACAUACACCGAUAUGCAAGAGACAAAAUUAUAGUGUUAAGUAUUUUCUUUCUAUAUUUAACGAUAAUAAGUUUAUCUUUUAAAAAAAGAACAUUUAAGUAUUGUGUGUGAAAGACAUUUUGCCUAGACGUCAGCAUUAUCAUAAAAUCAAAAUUCAAACAUAGUUUAAAUUCUCUUUGCUACUCGUAUUAAUAUUUUGUUAAAUGACUUUUCUUAAAAAGGUAUAACUAACGUUUGAAAGUAAGCGAUUCAAAGAUUUAAAUAUGUGCACUCGCAUAUCUUAGAUGCGUGUAAAGCUAUGUGUUACUAUUAAGAAAGCCGUCAGCAACACGAGUUAUGAAUGCAUUGCACAAUGGUCAAUAUUUUUGUAAGAAAAUGAAUUUGAAAAGAAGGAAAUAUAAAGCACAUAUACGUUUUUCUGCUACUAUGAUAACUGAAUGUGUAAUAAAAUCAGACUAUGACAUUCAGUUGCAACUUGAAACAAUGAUAGUUUAGAUCACGGUAACACGUACGAAGAGUUAAUUAACUAUUAACAAUUCAGAUUACUUAAAUGUUUGAACAAGAAAGAUAAGUUCAAUGACGUAGAAAUGAAAUUCGUGAUAUAAAUCCUUAAACACUUUUUUCAGUGUCUGCAUGUUAAUUUAUAAUAACCAAAUAUAAAACAGAAUUUUAUUUACACAUGAUAAAAUCUUUACAUGAAGUUGACAAAGGACGGUUUAAAAACUAGGUCAAGAGAUAUGUUAUCUGAACAGAUUUGUAUAGAAAAUCUCAAAAUAGACAAGUAUUUAUUUGAGACGUACAACAACUUUAAAUAUAGUAGUAUAUAAAUAUGAUAAACUUUUACGAUCACAGUAAGACUAAAUAAAAACGAGACUGGAUGUCUGUACGCUCGCCAUGUAGGAGCAAUUUUUCCAAACGUAAAUUUUUAAGAUUAUUUGUGGUCAAAGAUGGACAUAUGUAUCCUGUUAUAUGUUAAAUGCAGUAACAUCAGAGUACUAAUGGGAUGUGUUGCCACUAUUUCGCAAAAUACCGAGUGAAAGUAGAAAAUUGAAAAUCAAUAAAAUCUUUUUUUUGGCAAGGAAACACACACAAAAUAGAAGAUAGAACUAUGAUUAUAAUAUUGAGAGAAAAACCAAUUAAAUUUGUGAAGCAUUUCUUUUCUUCAUUAUAAAUAUAUUGCAUUGAUAAACACCUCUUUCAGUAUUACAGACUCUCAUUUGCAAAGAGAGACAAAAGAGAAAAAUACCCCCCCCCCCCC